rnacentral:rRNA from 1 species
AAUGAACGCUGGCGGCAGGCCUAACACAUUCAAGUCGGACGAGUGGCGGACGGGUGAGUAAUGUCUGGGAAACUGCCUGAUGGAGGGGGCUAACUACUGGAAACGUUAGCUAAUACCGCAUACCAUCAGAUUUUCCCAGAUGGGCGUAGCUUGUUGUUGGGGUAACGGCUCACCAAGGCGACGAUCCCUCGCUGGUCUGAGAGGAUGACCAUCCACACUGGAACUGAGACACGGUCCAGACUCCUACGGGAGGCAGAAGUGGGGAAUAUUGCACAAUGGGCUCAAGCCUGAUGCAGCCAUGCCGCGUGUAUGAAGAAGGCCGUCGGGUUGUAAAGUACUUUCAGCGGGGAGGCGUUACCCGCAGAAGAAGCACCGGCAAACUCCGUGCCAGCAGCCGCGGUAAUUC